rnacentral:rRNA from 1 species
CAGUCGCCGCGGGAAUACGUAGGUGGCAAGCGUUGUCCGGAAUUAUUGGGCGUAAAGGGCUCGCAGGCGGUUUCUUAAGUCUGAUGUGAAAGCCCCCGGCUCAACCGGGGAGGGUCAUUGGAAACUGGGAAACUUGAGUGCAGAAGAGGAGAGUGGAAUUCCACGUGUAGCGGUGAAAUGUGUAGAGAUGUGGAGGAACACCAGUGGCGAAGGCGACUCUCUGGUCUGUAACUGACGCUGAGGAGCGAAAGUGUGGGGAGCGAACAGGAUUAGAUACCCCCGUAGUCCCUGUCUCUUAUAU